rnacentral:rRNA from 1 species
UACGAAGGGUGCGAGCGUUGUUCGGAAUUACUGGGCGUAAAGGGUUCGUAGGCGGGAGCUUAAGUCACGUGUGAAAUCCCCAGGCUCAACCUGGGACGUGCACGUGAAACUGAGCUUCUUGAAUCUUGGAGAGGGUGAUGGAAUUGCUGGUGUAGGAGUGACAUCCGUAGAGAUCAGCAGGAACACCGGAGGCGAAGGCGAUCACCUGGCCAAAGAUUGACGCUGAGGAACGAAAGCGUGGGGAGCAAACAGG